UCAGUCAGCGCAGCGUAAUAAUAGAAACUAACCAGGAUUCCCUUAGUAACGGCGAGUGAACUGGGAUACCCAAUAUACCAUCUGUGCGUACCUCGGUGCGUACAAAUUUUAGCCCGUCGAUACUAUCCUAGCAUAGUACUGGCUUCGGCCGGUAACCUAUCUAUGCGCGAAUUGUAGCAUCGUACAAAAAUAUAUUAUACAACGUAUAUAUACGCAACCCACACUUAUAUAUAUUUUUUAUGCGUACACUUACUUUCAUAAACACACAGCGCUCUCGCGUUGGAAAGCAAGUUUAUAUCCUUUUUUGGAUACGCCAUAGAGUGUGACAGCCACGUUUCAACUCUACGUACGUACGUAUACACACGCGUUAUAUACAUACACUGUAUUUUAUAUAUAACCUGAGUCGAGUUAUUUGGGACUAUAGCUCUAAUAGUUUGGUUGGUGGUAAUGACACAUCAAAGGCUAAAUAUUGGUUAGUCGAUGCGUAUACACGGAGACCGAUAGCAUACAAGUACCGUAAGGGAACGAUGAAAAGCACCCUAUUGAGUUCACGGCGCAGACUGUCUUUGCAAUUCGUUGCGAGACGUCUUGCGCCCAACAACUACAGUGGGAGUGAAAGAGAGAGU
rnacentral:rRNA from 1 species